UUAAAUCGAGCGGUUUUUAGCCGACAUGACCUGAACGAGAAUCGAAGAUCUCGUUAAGAGUAGCAUAACGAGAAAAAGAUGGGCGAAAACGGACGUCGGAUGAAGAAGUUGUGAGGAUUUAACGGACCAAUCUUGUCCCAACCUGUUAAUAAUAUAAAAUUUAAAAUCGAGCCAAAAUUAGCCGACGGAGUCUAAACGAAAGUUGUAGAGUAUGAUCCCAACUUCGCGUGGAUAUAAAGAACAUAUAAAACGGAGCUCGUAUGCGAAAGUUAUGAUUUUUAGAAGUCGAGAAGGAAAUUUGCGAAACUGAGAUGACGUGGCAACAUCCGGACCCUCCAUCGCUGAUCAGACCUCGCUUCGGAUCAUGCCACGAAGCCUUCGCAUUACGCCCCGCGUACCUUCGGUCUUAUCCGGGUCCUGUCCGAGUGCGAGCCAGCUGGAUCAUGCGUGUCUGCCUUAUCCGAAGUUACGCCCCGCGUAGCCAAGGAUUACGCCCAGCGUAGUCCGAGGCCUCGCAGGGUAUAAAAAGGGGCGAGGGCCUUCGCAUUUUUCACACAAUUUUCCUUCUCUCUCUAGAUUUGUUUCUCUCUCUAGGGUUUCUAACCCCCCCCCUAAGCCCUAGUUAAACCCCUUAGCUCCCGAGGGAAGCCCCGAGGCUCCCGGAGUCCCGAGAAAAAGAGCCUUUCGGUUUCGAAACGCUGCUCCAAUUAAGUUCCGGUUUUCGAUAAAAUUCGCUGUAAGUAUGCUACGCUUACGCAAUUUUUAAUAUAGCUUUCCAAUAAUUAUAGGAAUGUUAUUAGGUCCUUAAAAUAAUUAUUUGGGCUAUUAUUAUGAGUUAUAUUAAGCAUUAUUAACGCUUAAUAAUAGUCAGACUAAUUAAUUUGUUGCAGUUAUCGUUGGACUAAGCCCUAGUGGUAUUGGUACUAGGUUUUAUCGAAGGAAUAUUGGUUUGAGAGUAUCGAAGCGCUGUCCGAGUGCUGAGUCACCACCUACUCAGGUGAGUGCAUAGUCCCUUUCAUCUUACACAUAGAUAUGAAGUAUUUUAUAUAAACUACGUGCUAUGUGUGCAUAUUAUCUGAAUACUUGUUGUCUAUGCUGGAUGAACGUUUUAUACAUGUUUUAAAGGAUUUAAACUGUAUACGUAUUUUAUAUAUAUGAAUAUGUUGGGUAUGAGAUGGGUAGAUGAAUGAUGAGAGAUAGAAGAUGACGUGAGUAUACAUUGGCAGCUAUAGACUUAGUGCCUAUGGGACAAACACCGGUAGCUAUGGACUUAGUACCUUUUAGACGUUGGUAGCUAUGGAUUUAGUACCUGUUGGGAAUUGGUAGCUAUGGACUUAGUACCUAUUAGUUAGACGCUGGUAGCUAUGGAUUUAGUACCUGUUAGGAAUUGGUAGCUAUGGACUUAGUACCUAUUGAACACUGGUAGCUAUGGAUUUAGUACCCGAUGAGUAGGAUAUAGCAGCUAUGGAUUUAGUGCUUUACGAACGAACAUCGGCAGCUAUGGAUUUAGUGCCAGUCCUAUAACCCUGGAAGUAAGGGACUUCGGAAUAAACGAAUGCAGGAUAGAUGACUCUUAGGUUAAAUCCUUAAGAGUAAAGAAGAUAACGGGGAUGGGUAAUUGGGUUAAUUGUUUGAUGAUUGAACAUAACAAUUAUAUUAUUGUGGGUUGAAAACCCUAUGUACUCACCAGGUUUCCCAACCUGACCCACUCAGUUUAUGUAUAUCACAGGUGACGAAGUGAAGUGACAUUACACUGAGAGAUUUAAAGAGAUGUAGAUCACUAGUGUAAAUCAUUGUAAGUUCUGUUUAUGCUUAUGUUUCGGUAUUAACGAUGACAUCCCAAACGUUUUAAAAUGAAAUAAAUACGUUUCCUCGAAAAUGUUUUAAUAACGUAUUUACCAUGUUUUUCUGGGAACACAUUCCGCAACCUUUUUAUAAAACGAAGUACUCUGAUUUUCAUAAAGCAUAAACAAAAUCGGUCUUUUCUGGCCGUGAUUUUGGGGAUGUCACAGUUGGUAUCAGAGCAUUAGUUUAAGCGAACUAGGAAUAUGGAUUUAUUUCUAGACUUAAACUUAGAAUGCUAAGCGAUGAUUGUGAGGUGUGAGCACUAGCUUAUUUUAGGAAUUAUGCCUAAAUUGCUUUUAUGUGCUAAAUGCUUUGUGCAUGAUAUGUUGUUAAUUGUUCGGAUCUAUGGUCUGUUGCCGACCGGAUCUGGAAACCUUAUGUGUUUAGGAUUCUAAACGUACGACUACGGUAUUAGAACUAGCAUGUAAACGUUUCGGAGUGAUAAGGAUGAUUUAAACGUCAAGUAAAGGUCUAAAUUCACCUUAUUCGGUGUAUAGAUCGAGAUGGUAAGGACCCGUAGCGGAAACGUAAACGCAAAUGGGAACAGGAACCAACCCCCAGUGGUUCAGCAAAUACCUGUUGUAGAAGAAGUUGCACCUGAGCCAGUCACCAUGGCUGGAGUUCAAGCCAUGAUUCGGGCUAUGCUAGCUGAACAAAGGGAAGAAAUGAGGAGGAUGUCAAAUAGGGACGAACCUACUAUGCCCACUGAGCAACCCGAGCUGAUUCCCGAGCAAUCGGAGGAAGGGAACUACAGCCACCAAGUGAGUCAAGUGGGGACUCAAGGUGAUCAAAGGGAUGGCCCGGAGAGGAGAAAUGACAAGGAUGGGCGAAUGUACAAGAAUUUAUUGGGUGCGAAACCACCAAGCCUCUCAGGAAGCCCAAAGCCAGUUGAGAUUAUGGAUUGGAUCUCCAAGAUGGAAAUGGUGUUUGAAAGCUGCGACUGCAGCGAGAAACAGAAGACCGUCUUCGCCGUAAGACAACUUAAAACUGGAGUCUUGAGCUGGUUGAAGCUAUUGGCAGAUACGAUGCCACGAGGAGAAGCCUUAAGGAUUUCAUGGGAAGAGUUCUUGGAACAGUUGAAAAUGCAGUACUGCUCGGAGAUAGAUCUGAUAGACCUAAACAACGAGUUUCAGAACCUGAAGAAAGGGAAGAUGAGUGUUGAUGAGUAUGCCACCGCAUUCACUGAGAGGAUGAAGCUAUUUCCCUACUUGGUGCCUACUGAACUCUCCAAGAUUGAUAGGUUUGCUAACGGACUACCCACUGACUUUGCCAUAAUGGUCAAAAUGGCAACUACCUUGAAAACAGUUGUUAGGGUAGUUAAGAACGUAGAGGCCCAGAUAAGAGAAAAGGGUCUAGAAAAAGAUAAGGCAGGAGAGAAGCGGAAGUUUGAAGGAUCUUUGAGGUCAAACAAGGAAAGUAAAUUCUCAAAGCUUUGAGGAGGAGAUGGAGGUGCAGCAAGAUGGUGUGAUAAAUGUAAGAAGAAGCAUGGUGGAAAGUGCAACGAAAAAGUGACUUGUUACAAGUAUGGGAGGACUGGUCACUAUUCCAAGGACUGCACACAUAAUGAUAAAGUAUACUACGGAUGUGGAGGCAAGGGGCACGUGUCAAGAGACUGCCCAAGGAAAAAUAAAACAGCAAGACUAGAAACGCCACCAAGGCCAAGGGCAUUUCACAUGAUCCUCGACGAGGCAUAUAACCGUGCGAGGAGUCAAGGAUGAAGACUUCAUAUCGGAAGAUCAAGUUAUGUAGUAGCCAUAGUAUUUUAUGAUGUAGCCUAUUAGAGGCAUAGUCUAGGGUGAACUUGAACACCUAUGUAAUAGUUUCAAUAAAUAAUAAAAUCUUCGUUUUGUUAUCUGGUGUGUUAACUCGUUAUGUGAUUUGUUGCAUGGUGACUUGGGAAACUGCGGGACAAUAUUUGGGACGAGUAUGAGUAGGUGGGAAUGGUAGUAUAGGCCUAUACUACCGGAAGCACAGGACUCACACUUGGAUCAGGGAAAGUCACAAGGUUACCAAGAAGCUAGUAAUUGAUUUCGUUUUAUUCAAGUACGUCAUUACCAUUGUUUUGGUAAUGAGUAAGAAGAUUGUUGUUAUCCCGACCCUAGUGGUCAUAUCACAUUGAGUCCGACUACGAUGAGUAGGUUACGCGGUUCAGAGAACCAAGUUUGAUGUAGCGUCCGACUUAAACCAAACGAUUGAAAUCAAAGCGAUCGAUAGAAAUAUCGUGCUAGUUGUUAAAAAAAUUGGUAGCUAGAAAUGCAUAAUGUUAAAGUGUGAUUAUAUCACAUUAAAACAUGAAGGAAGGCAUAGUCUGUUUUAGAAUUUAACUCUAAGAGACCUAAGUCUAUGUGUUGCAACAUACAAUGAUAGGUCAUUAGAAUAUGACACAUCGAUCCAUAGUAGUAAUAAAAGAAAUCAUCUCAAGUUCGUAUCCAGUAAGGAUCGAGAUUGUGACUUAAAGUUCAUAAUUUGGAGUCUAACCUGAGGUAGACAGCAGGUGUACGAUCGAGUACUGCUUAAUAUCAAUGAGUCUAAGAGAUAGACUUGAAGGAAUACAGAAGUUAUAAUUACCUAGGAUGAAGAGAUGACGUAUGGAGUCAUUAUACGAGCCCUGUUUCGUUGAUGAUUCUGGGACGUAAUCAUCCUAAGGGGAGAUAACUGUAACGCCCGUAGAUCCGGGCUAGUCAAUUAGAGGCAAUAGGAGUCGAAAACGACUUUUCAACAAAAGAUUAUUUAGAAUAAAUAAUAUUAACCAAGUUGUAGAGUAUGUCUCAAGGUUUCCGUACAUAUAAAGAAUGCCGAAAUCCGAGUUAUAACGAAGAAGUUAUGACCCGUUGAAGUUUCGCGACGGAACCGGCACGGCAUGGGGAAUCGUAAAUAGUGAAUUUACGAUAGAGCGGGAUUUAGCCUUAGCGAUCUAAACGAAAGUCGUAGAAUAUAUUAAACUAAGAACAUCGAUAUAAAGAACGCCCAAAUCUGACUUCGUAUGAAGAAGUUAUGAUUUUUCGAAGUUUCGGACUAGCAGUGUACAGCCCGAAAUUCGAAUAUUGGAUCGAGCGGUUUUUAGCCGACAUGACUUGAACGAGAAUCGAAGAUCUCGUUAAGAGUAGCAUAACGAGAAAAAGAUGGGCGAAAACGGACGUCGGAUGAAGAAGUUGUGAGGAUUUAACGGACCAAUCUUGUCCCUACCUGUUAAUAAUAUAAAAUUUAAAAUCGAGCCAAAAUUAGCCGACGGAGUCUAAACGAAAGUUGUAGAGUAUGAUCCCAACUUCGCAUGGAUAUAAAGAACGUCUAAAACGGAGCUCGUAUGCGAAAGUUAUGAUUUUUAGAAGUCGAGAAGGAAAUUUGCGAAACUGAGAUGACGUGGCAACAUCCGGACCCUCCAUCGCUGAUCAGACCUCGCUUCGGAUCAUGCCACGAAGCCUUCACAUUACGCCCCGCGUACCUUCGGUCUUAUCCGGGUCCUGUCCGAGUGCGAGCCAGCUGGAUCAUGCGUGUCUGCCUUAUCCGAAGUUACGCCCCGCGUAGCCAAGGAUUACGCCCAGCGUAGUCCGAGGCCUCGCAGGGUAUAAAAAGGGGCGAGGGCCUUCGCAUUUUUCACACAAUUUUCCUUCUCUCUCUAGAUUUGUUUCUCUCUCUAGGGUUUCUAACCCCCCCCCUAAGCCCUAGUUAAACCCCUUAGCUCCCGAGGGAAGCCCCGAGGCUCCCGGAGUCCCGAGAAAAAGAGCCUUUCGGUUUCGAAACGCUGCUCCAAUUAAGUUCCGGUUUUCGAUAAAAUUCGCUGUAAGUAUGCUACGCUUACGCAAUUUUUAAUAUAGCUUUCCA
rnacentral:lncRNA from 1 species